UUGAGACUGGUGCAUAAAGCGAACAUGUGGCCUAAAUCCAGAUCAGUUUUUCUUUUAUAUAAACGGUGGUGCUGGAACAGGGAAGUCACAUCCUAUCAAAUGUAUCUACUCAGAGGCAUCUAAGAUACUGUGCAAACUGCCAAGACAUGCUGAGGAUGCUGACAUUUCAAAACCCACUGUCCUGUUGACUGCUUUCACUGGAAGAGCAGCCUUUAACAUCUCAGGCACAAUGCUGCACUCUCUCCUCAAACUACCGAGAAGCCUUAAACCCCCAUUUCAAGGACUUGGCAACAAAUUGGAAGAAGUCAGAUGUGAGCUUUUCAAUGCUGAGAUCAUUAUCAUCGAUGAAGUGUUCAUGGUGUCAAAGGCCCUUUUUGCCUAGGUUGAUGCGAGACUCAAACAGAUCAAAGGCAGUCAGAGACCCUUUGGAGGAAUGUCAGUAAUAGCUGUUAGAGACUUCUAUCAGUUACCACCAGUGCGACAGGCUAAACCCCUCUGUGUGCAUGACCCAUUAGAGAUUGACUUGUGGCAGGAACACUUUCAGAUGAUCAGUCUGACUGAGAUUAUGCGUCAAAAGGAUGAUGUUGACUUUGCAGAGAUGUUGAACCAGAUCCGUGUGAAAGAAAAGUUAGAUAAGUUGUCUGAAGCAGACAGACCUUUGCUGUCACAAACUGUCACUGAACCAGCACUCUGCCCGACUGAUGUCCUGCACAUUUUUGCAACUAAUAAACAAGUAGAUGCCCAUAACUCUGCAACAUUAACUGAACUUCACUCUCACAUCACUAAAAUUGAUGCUGAUGACUAUAGAAAGGACCCACGAAAUAGCAAAAUGUCAUGACAAGCCCAACCAUUUAAAAGGAGGCAGAAAUGAGUUACCAGAUACACUACAAGUUGCUGAAGGUGCUCAUGUUAUGCUCACCAGAAACAUAGAUGUUUCUCGAGGAUUAGUGAACGGUUCGUUUGCUACUCUAGUCAGGUUAGUAACUUCUGAACAACAUGAAUCUGCACAUGUCACUAUGCUUGGGCUCAAGAUGGAUGAUGAAACAGCUGGAAGGAAUUGCAGUAACAGAGCACCAGGGGCACCUGACAAUCUUGUGUACAUAGAGAGAGCAGAGGAGAAUCUUAAACAGAAAGGAGUGGUACACAGACAGUUUCCCAUUAAGCUGGCCUUUGCAUGUACAGUUCAUAAGCUUCAAGGUAUGACAACAACAUCAGCCGUAGUCUCACUGAAGCACAUUUUUGAACCUGGCAUGGCUUAUGUAGCUGUGAGUAGAGUGACCUCUCUCAGUGGACUGUACCUACUGGACAUGGAUGAGAGCAAAAUGUAUGCCAACCCAGAAAUCACUGCAGCCUUACAGACCAUGAGACAACUCAACUUGGAUGACAUGAUGCCUCUUCUUCAUAUCAAACAAACUUAGAGUGGGCAUGACACUCUGACCAUUGUUCACCAUAACACAGAAGGAUUGCCAUCUCAUGUAAAUGACAUCAAGAGCCAUCAUGAAUUGUGUCUCUCAGAUGUUUUGUGUCUCACAGAAACCUACAAGGCUCCUUUGUUGCAGAGAGUCUCCACUUACAAGGCUACAACAUGUUCAAAUGCAACAGACACCUGUCCUACACAAACUUUCCACAAAUGGCCAACAGAGGAGGUGGUGGAGUUGCUAUUUAUGUGAAAAACCACUUUCAGGUGUGUGAAAAACAGUACAUACAUAAUGUAACUGACCUUGAGUUUGUAGCUUUGAAGGUUGAAGCCCCAGUAAGUGCAUUGAUUGCAGCUGUGUACAGACCUCCAGACUACAGCCUGACAUCAUUCCUGUCAAACCUGGGAAGCCUUUUGGACUCACUGGAGAUCAUGGAUUGUCACCCCAUCAUUGUCUGUGGCAAUUUCUACGAGAAUCUCUUAUCCAACGCAAGUAAGCCAGUACUGGAGCUGUUUCAGUCUAGGGGAUAUGCUCAACUCAUCACUGCUGCAACCACAGAGAAGAACACACUGCUGGACCUCAUUUUCAUCUCUCAACUAUAGCAUUGUCUCCAUUCUGGUGUCAUGAAAACCUAUUACAGUUAUCAUAAUCCUGUAUACUGUGUAAUGUCCUCCAGCAGUUCAUUAAGAAGUCAGCUGAGUUUUAAAGAUAAAGAAAAAUGCAAAGGACUUGUGACCAAACUAAUAUUUUCAGUGCAGUGAUCAAUAGAAAACAGUUUAUUAGAACUUUGUGUAAAAAAAAAAAGUACAGAAGAAUUUUAUAUUGAUAACAGUUUGAUUUAAAACACUGAAUUAUCUAAAGUGCAAUUAUGAAAUCAAAAACAGUAUAUUACAGAGUAGGGGUAUCCUCUGUGCAACCUGGCUUCAGCACCUUGCCAGGCUGCCUCAGUCUCUCCAAGGCUGUGAGGGAGGGAGGGUGGACCAGAGGAUCCCCUCCUCAAAACUUAAUAUGACUGUUGUAAUGUGCUGAAGAGAAAUUGACGCACAAGGCCUCUUUGUUGCUGAGAGAAUAUCAUACUGCUGAACAGCAAUGUCUCCAUCCUGGUACAGUUGUCAUAAUCAUGUUUUUGGUUUAAGCUCCUCCAUCAGGUCUUAAAAAUGGCAAGUAAGACAAAAAUAUACUUAGCAUCAGGUUGUGUUAUUAGGUAACUACAUGGUUCUUGGAAAUUAAAUUCUGUUUGGUAAUCUUAAAUUUUGAGAGAAUUGGAUAAUACAACAGGCCAUAUUUUUUUCAGGUUAUUAUACUGUUAUGGGCUAUAUUUCCAACAUAUUUUGGCCUGGCAUUCAUCAGGGUGGGUGUGGAUCAGGGUUGAUAAAUGCACAGGCCAAAACUGUUUUAGCAGCCGUAUACAGCAUUGUGCACAGCUGCUAACACUUACUAUAACAGAAAUACAUCAGAAAGUAUGUGUUUUAGAUGUAACACAUACUUUCUGAUGUACAUAUGCCUACCAGCUGAAACCCCACAUUCCCACCCAUUUCCUGCUAUGCUCACUAGCAGGGUGGGUGGCCUUGCCAGAGACUAUAACUUUUCUAAGUUUACUUUCCCCUGGACAGGAGACACAGUUCUACUGUGUCCUCUGUGAUGACACCUGCCCACCUUGGCCUCACCUCCUUCAGCACCAUGAGAACUAGCUCAUAACAACCAGGACACUCUGCUGCCACAGACCAGAUGCUGUAGCACUGGAUUAACUGUUUAUCUACACUGGACCCAUCACUAAUAGAUAGACACGUUCUACUUCCUGCUAGCGCCAGUCAUUCUUCAAAGCAGGGGAGAUAAGAUAACACCUGCCAGCCUUUGCCUCACCUCCUCUAUGGCUCUGAGACACUGGAUCGUCUCAUAACAACCAAGACAUCAUGCUGACCCAGACCAGAUCCUGUAGCACCAGUGUAACUGUGAAUCAACAGUGGACCAUGACGGCUGGACCACAUGGAGACAUGUGUUCCCCCUGCCAGUGCCGGGGUUUCUUCACAGUGGAGCAUAAGGUCUUCCUCCACUGUGAUCCCUCCACUUCACAGUGGAGACACUCAAGACUGCACAGAGAGAGAAACAUGUAAAAGAAGCUGAACAUCAUGCAGCUCUCAAAAACUUCUCUGUGUGAAAUGGCACUGGACAGAAAAUUGUUUCCUGCACUGCAGCAGUGUUGAAGGACCAGCUCCAUCCCCCUACCUUCACAUCACCAUCUGUGCAUCCAUCACAGUGGAGCCUAACUACUGUUGAUCCUUUGUCAAGUGAUCAGGUGUACUGCUGCCGGGACUCAUGCACAAUGCUGCACAUCAGCCCUCACUCAGUUUCUGAGUGACAAUUCCUCCAACUGUGCAACAUCAAGCUCUCCCCUAAACAACAAGGUAACACUUUUAUUAUUUUACUUCCUUCAUACAAGAUCCCUCGUCAACCAAACCACCUGGUGCAUGCUGUUUGCAUUUACAACUCCAGAACACAUCGACCAGAUAAUUGGAAAUGUCAAAGGUCAUGUUGACACUGUACUCCGUUGGUUUGUGCCGACAAUGGACAGAUUCAACAAACAGCAACAUGAUAGAACACAUGCCUGGACAGUUGACAAAAUGACUGCUUCUCUGAAAAACAAUACACCAAUUUAAAAGAUUCUUUUUUGAUUGUCGACAUCUAUCCAAGCAAUGUAUGUUUAUUUUGUAUUUCAUAAGAAUUUAUUCCUUUCCUUUUCAUUUACCACAAGCUAACUAAUUAACCCAGAGAAGAGGAGAGGUUUUAGAAAUAUUAAUCAUUAGGGUGGGGUUUCAGCUGGGAGGUACGUCAAAGGUCUUUCACACGUGUGUGCGUAGCCUUGGGCUGAUCUAAACCUCAUGGUAUACACAGCGGUCAUUUAUAUAACUCCUGUGUUAAAAGUUCAGAAUAUUCAGAGUCUUCACAAUGCCCACAACACAUGCCUAAGUCAAAAAGCCACAUCUAAUGAUUUGAUUGGGAAAGAAAUGUUCCCAUGCUAGUUUUGACAUGACUGUCAAUUCAGGGAUACUGGAUCUUUAAAGCCAUGAACUAAUGGUGGUACCCUAUCAGCCUAGGUCUAACCAUGAUGUGAAAAGCCUUUAAUGGUAUGGCUGAAGAAUAUUGCAAACCAUCAGAAUUGUAAUGUCUUUGUUGAUCAGUGUCUCACAGAGGACACUAUGUAUACAAUUUUCUAAUGUC